rnacentral:rRNA from 1 species
GACGUAGGAGGCGAGCGUUGUCCGGAUUCAUUGGGCGUAAAGAGCACGCAGGCGGUUUGGCAAGUCGGAUGUGAAAACCCACGGCUCAACCGUGUGGUCUGCAGUCGAUACGGGCAGGCUAGAAUUCGGUAGGGGAGACUGGAAUUCCUGGUGUAGCGGUGAAAUGCGCAGAUAUCAGGAGGAACACCGGUGGCGAAGGCGGGUCUCUGGGCCGAUAUUGACGCUGAGGAGCGAAAGCGUGGGGAGCGAACAGG